rnacentral:rRNA from 1 species
UACGUAGGUGGCAAGCGUUGUCCGGAUUUACUGGGCGUAAAGCGUAUGCAGGCGGACCGUUAAGUAGGAAGUGAAAGGUUGGAGCUCAACUCUAACACUGCUCCCUAUACUGGCGGUCUUGAGUGGCGGAGAGGAAGAUGGAACGACACGUGUAGCGGUGAAAUGCGUUGAUAUGUGUCGGAACACCAAUGGCGAAAGCAAUCUUCUGGAACGCAAACUGACGCUGAGAUACGAAAAGCCAAGGUAGCAAACAGG